AUUGAACGCUGGCGGCAUGCCUUACACAUGCAAGUCGAACGGUAACAGGUCUUCGGAUGCUGACGAGUGGCGAACGGGUGAGUAAUACAUCGGAACGUGCCUAGUAGUGGGGGAUAACUACUCGAAAGAGUGGCUAAUACCGCAUGAGAUCUACGGAUGAAAGCAGGGGAUCGCAAGACCUUGUGCUACUAGAGCGGCCGAUGGCAGAUUAGGUAGUUGGUGGGAUAAAAGCUUACCAAGCCGACGAUCUGUAGCUGGUCUGAGAGGACGAUCAGCCACACUGGUACUGAGACACGGCCCAGACUGCUACGGGGGGCAGCAGUGGGGAAUUUUGGACAAUGGGCGCAAGCCUGAUCCAGCAAUGCCGCGUGCAGGAUGAAGGCCUUCGGGUUGUAAACUGCUUUUGUACGGAACGAAAAGCCCUGGGUUAAUACCCUGGGGUCAUGACGGUACCGUAAGAAUAAGCACCGGCUAACUACGUGCCAGCCGCCGCCGUAACAC
rnacentral:rRNA from 1 species